UGCCAGCAGCCGCGGUAAUACGGAGGGGGUUAGCGUUGUUCGGAAUUACUGGGCGUAAAGCGCACGUAGGCGGAUCGGAAAGUUGGGGGUGAAAUCCCAGGGCUCAACCCUGGAACUGCCUCCAAAACUGCCAGUCUUGAGUCCGGGAGAGGUGAGUGGAAUUCCUAGUGUAGAGGUGAAAUUCGUAGAUAUUAGGAAGAACACCAGUGGCGAAGGCGACUCACUGGCCCGGUACUGACGCUGAGGUGCGAAAGCGUGGGGAGCAAACAGGAUUAGAUA
rnacentral:rRNA from 1 species